rfam:Schistosoma rodhaini strain Burundi genome assembly, scaffold: SROB_scaffold0001241
GCACUACUGAGGAGUCUCACAACAGGACGAAACGGCCGUCCAAUGC